rnacentral:rRNA from 1 species
CCCUUAGAUGUUCUGGGCCGCACGCGCGCUACACUGAUGCAUUCAACGAGUCUAAAACCUGGUCUGAUAGGGCUGGGUAAUCUUUUGAAUGUGCAUCGUGAUUGGGAUAGAUGAUUGCAAUUCUUCAUCUUCAACGAGGAAUGCCUAGUAAACGCAAGUCAUCAGCUUGCAUUGAUUACGUCCCUGCCCUUUGUACACACCGCCCGUCGCUCCUACCGAUUGAAUGUUCCGAUGAAUACCAUGGACUGAGAGUAUGAAUGGGUUCGCCUAUUUCUGCUUCUCGGGAAGUGGAGUAAAUCUUAACGUUUAGAGGAAGGAGAAGUCGUAACA